UACAGAGGGUGCAAGCGUUGUUCGGAAUUAUUGGGCGUAAAGCGCGUGUAGGCGGCUUUGCAAGUCGGGUGUGAAAGCCCUCAGCUCAACUGAGGAAGUGCGCCCGAAACUGCAGAGCUUGAGUGCCGGAGAGGGUGGCGGAAUUCCCCAAGUAGAGGUGAAAUUCGUAGAUAUGGGGAGGAGCACCGGGUGGCGAAGGCGGCCACCUGGACGGUAGUUGACGGCUGAGACGCGAAAGCGUGGGGAGCAAACAGG
rnacentral:rRNA from 1 species